rnacentral:rRNA from 1 species
UACGGAAGGCAGCAGUGGGGAAUAUUGCACAAUGGGCGCAAGCCUGAUGCAGCCAUGCCGCGUGUAUGAAGAAGGCCUUCGGGUUGUAAAGUACUUUCAGUCGUGAGGAAGGUGUUAAGGUUAAUAACCUUAGCAAUUGACGUUAGCGACAGAAGAAGCACCGGCUAACUCCGUGCCAGCAGCCGCGGUAAUACGGAGGGUGCGAGCGUUAAUCGGAAUUACUGGGCGUAAAGGGCACGCAGGCGGUUAAUUAAGUUGGAUGUGAAAUCCCCGGGCUUAACCUGGGAAUGGCAUUCAAGACUGGUUAGCUAGAGUCUUGUAGAGGGGGUAGAAUUCCAUGUGUAGCGGUGAAAUGCGUAGAGAUGUGGAGGAAUACGGUGGCGAAGGCGGCCCCUGGACAAAGACUGACGCUCAUGUGCGAAAGCGUGGGGA